rnacentral:rRNA from 1 species
GAUGAACGCUGGCGGCGUGCUUAACACAUGCAAGUCGAACGGAAAGGCCCAAGCUUGCUUGGGUACUCGAGUGGCGAACGGGUGAGUAACACGUGGGUGAUCUGCCCUGCACUUCGGGAUAAGCCUGGGAAACUGGGUCUAAUACCGGAUAGGACCACUUCUUGGAUGUUGUGGUGGAAAGUUUUUUCGGUGUGGGAUGAGCUCGCGGCCUAUCAGCUUGUUGGUGGGGUAAUGGCCUACCAAGGCGUCGACGGGUAGCCGGCCUGAGAGGGUGUACGGCCACAUUGGGACUGAGAUACGGCCCAGACUCCUACGGGAGGCAGCAGGGGGGAAGAUUGCACAAUGGGCGCAAGCCUGAUGCAGCGACGCCGCGUGGGGGAUGACGGCCUUCGGGUUGUAAACUCCUUUCGCUAGGGACGAAGCGUUUUGUGACGGUACCUGGAGAAGAAGCACCGGCUAACUACGUG